GGUCAGUGAUGACUAGUAAAAGGUCUGAAAGCAUUGAAUUCUAUAACCCACAAAGCUCCCAGCAACCGCAGUUGUAUCCAGUCACACUUAAGAUAUGUGGUGUUUGGUCUUGAUGGUUGCUGACAUUAUUGGGUUGUCACUAUGCGCUUAUCUGCACAAGGUAAAAGAUGAGCGUUUUCUGAUAUUAUCCUACAUAGUAAAUGAUAAGGAGACGGUGGGUGAAGUAGAAUCCUAUGUGCUAUAUGAUCUUAAGUUUUCAAGCUGAGACC